rnacentral:rRNA from 1 species
CGGACCGGCGCACGGGUGAGUAACACGUAUGCAAUCCACCUGUAACAGGGGGAUAACCCGGAGAAAUCCGGGCUAAUACCCCAUAAUAUGGGCUCUCCGCAUGGAGGGUCCAUUAAAGAGAGCAAUUUUGGUUACAGACGAGCAUGCGCUCCAUUAGCCAGUUGGCGGGGUAACGGCCCACCAAAGCGACGAUGGAUAGGGGUUCUGAGAGGAAGGUCCCCCACAUUGGAACUGAGACACGGUCCAA